AGAAAUGCCUCAUUGAAUGUAUUAAACUAUAUUGAUUUUCUCUUGCGAGGAGAACAUACAAGCUCACAUCAAGAUAGAUGGAAAUUUUGUCUGAAGGAAAUCAAUCUACAAAAAUAAAGGUCACCUCUCCCGUCUAAAUAGAGGCUAAAACUAAGCGCCAUAUUUUGACACUCUCCGCAAACUAGCAGAAUCAAGUCAGUGACAAAUCCACAAUACCAACUAUGGCAAACUAAGAAGCAUCCACCUAGAGACCAUGGUUUUGGGCUAAUGGUAAUUGUGAAGAUAUCAUUUAAUCCUUUGUGGAUCUCAUGGAAUAAAGUCCACCCUAGGUUGAUAAGGGCCCGAAACAAUGGAAUCUAGAUGGACGCUUCUCAGUUUUCCAAAGCUGGUGUUGUGGCUUUUUUACCGAACUGAGUCUGCUUGUUUAUGAUUGCGGUCAAUAGAUGGCGCUUGGCUUUAUCGUCUAUUUUGACGAGAGAGGCAAUAUUUAUUUUUAUUGUUUACCUCAAUAAGCAGUUAAGCCUGUCUAUAGCGCCCCCUCUAAAUAGCGCCUCCCUCUCUAUAGCGCCCGAUUUUUAAAACGUAGUACGAUGCGAUUUACAUUAAAAGUGACCUGUCUAUAUCACCCCCUCUCUAUAACACCCUAUUUUGGUGAGUCCCAAGAGGGAGCGCUAUAGACAGGUUUAACUGUAUACUCGUAUAUUGAAACUUGAUCUGAAUAUUCCAUGAAUACCAUCGUACAAUGUAUUACGCGGUAUAGCUUCACAAUUUAUAUUAUCUACACAACUUGGAUGGCUAACUUUAAAAUUUGCAUAGUUCUAUAUCCAGUAGCUUGAUGUUGCAAACUCUUAGUCCCCCAGAGUACAUUGAUAAACAAAAUAUCCACACGCAUAAAACAAUAGCUAUUUUUGAAAGCUUCAGUAAAUUAAUUAUAUGAACAUUUUGAAAAAAUGAUGACAUCAAACAAUUCUAUUUAAUAUAUUUUAAAAUUAUGCGUCUAAAUAUAAAUUAUUCCAUAUAUUCACAAAUGUAAAAAUAUAUCUCAUGUAUUAUGAUGCACUAGCGCACCAUUUGUUAUGAAAAUUCGAAAUUAUUUUAGACGCGUAAGAUUAAACUUGCGAAACCGCUGCGAGGGUUCACCACUGAUGAGCCAGGCCCUCCCAUUAAUUUUUCCGUUGCAGUAAGGGCAGUAGAUAUUGUUUAAUUUUAAAAAGAAUCUUACGCGUCUAAAAUAAUAUCGAAUUUUCAUAUCUCAUGUAUAGUUGUUGAAUUUCUAAAAAUAAAUAUUAUAAAACUAUUUAUAGUAAAUGAAUAAACAAAAAUUAUCAUGAAAGGAAAAAUAAGAUAUAAUUAUAUCAUAAAUAUCAUUAUAAUAAGAUAUAUUUGAAGCAGAUGUCCUUUCAGACCUUUCAGCCCAUAAGCCGGCACUGUAAAUUGACACCAUUGGAUAGUAGGCUACCUAGACCGAAAUCUGUACGCCUGGUGCAAUAAGAAAAACUGAAAUAUUUAUACAAGUCGCUUUUAAAAAUGUAUUUAACCUCUAAGAUAUCUUUGAUAGAACAUUUGUUGUGUAUGUAAAUAGAUGAUUCGCAUUCUUUAAAGCUUUAUUAUGUAAAUAUAUAUGUAUAUUUAUCAGACAUAGUUGUUGUUGGCCAGUCGAAAGAAUAAGAGCUAAAUAAAAUUUAAUGCUCAAGUUUUAGUUGCUGUACGUCUAAUUUCGACAAUUACACAGUUUCACAUCAUCUAAAGUGUUGCCAAGAGAACGUUCCAGUUUGUUGGAUUUCUGCCCGUAAAAAGGCAACGGUGAUAAAAAUGGAAUGACGCUGCGCAUGCGUCAACAACGAUAGAGAGAAUAAUAGUUGGAAAUUAAGGGACAGCCAGUGGAACAAACAAUCAACAUUCUAUAUCUUUAGUGAGAGAAAGAUAGAAGUAGGAAUGCUAUUGGGAUGUGUUAUGUGUAUAUAAAUGUUGAAAAUAGAGAGAAAUAUACCUUUUGAUACUUAAAAUAAAAAGCACAUGUGCUUUGGUCAGGAUAUGCAUUUAUUAUUUUUAAUAUCAACACCUACCUAUUUUUUCUAUUGUUUUUUUUUUUAUGCUUUAAGCGUAUUUACGCAAGUUUGGUCUUGAAUACACAUUUCUUGGUUUCUGAAGAAGCCUCUGGGACCAAGAAAUAUUUUUUUUUGCAGUGAUACAGCCAUGCUGACGAGCGCCAACAGGGCGAAACGCGUUCGUGGAUGGCUUUUCUUGAUUUAUCAAGAAAUUGGGUUGGUCAAAUAUCAGGGAACAGGUUAAAUCAAUGUUUAGUUGAUUUCUGUUCCACUAGAUGGCGCUCUGACAUCUAAAAAGCACAUGUGAUUUUGGCCAGGAUAUGCUUUUAUUAUUUUUAAUACUUAAAAUUGUUAAAAAAAGCAUGCUCUGAUCGCUCAAAUCAGCAUUUAAAGAUGGCAGAGCGCCAUCCAUCAUAAUAAUUAUCACCUAAACCUCAAUGUAAUUUUAUUCCUGAAUGCUGAGAACAAAUAUAUAUAUAUAUAUAUAUUUUUUUUUUCAACAUGGAAUGCCAACCAUUUUCGCGUUUCAGGCUAUUGGCCAACUUUUCAGCCGGUACGAGAAUCUAAAACGUUUCUUUAUGAAAGAAUAUUAUAUUGUAAUAUUGCGAUAGGAUGGUUCGUGUUCAAAAAUAUUAAUUGUUAACAAAUUUAUAUGUUUCCUAUAACAUGCCUUUGCAAUAGAAGACUAACCGCCCGAACCUUUACAUUAUAUAUUACGAAAAAAAAGCCACCACUUUUUCUACAAUGAAACAUAUAAGACAUAAACAGUGCCCUCUAGAGACCACCUGGAAAAGGAAAUAUUUAUUUAAGGGGUGGUUUCUUAUUGAAGAUUGGGUUACCUUAAUCUAUGUCAUUUUUUUAUUAUUUUAUAAAUCGAGACACACUUCAGAUUGUUCAUUGUAUGUUAUUGUAAAUAAUUAAUAUAAAGCAAUAACGCGCCACCUAUAUAUUACAAAUGAAAACAUUAAAACACGCGUCUUUUCAUUUGUUAUAAAUACUCAAUAUGAUGUUCAAUGAACUAUCAGAAUUGAAAUAUAGAACUGUUAAUCUGUGGAAUGUUUCAGAAGAUGUUCCUGCUUGCAACUAUGUAUUCCAAGAACACAGGAGUUUCAGGAUUCUGACUAAGAAAAUCUCUUAGAAUGUACAGCCUUCAUUGACCAAUCGACUUGAUGGUUUGUUCAUUACUUUCUCAGCGUGAUAAUCAAGAAAUAUUAUGUCUUAACGCCAAAUCCCCUACGUUACAACGGGGAUCCUGAAAGACCUGGAGUCCAGGAAGAGUUGGUAGUCACGUCUCCUUAUCAUUCACCAGUCCAGAGCGCUGCGAGUUUCCUGGACGGAGAACUGAUAAGGAUGAGUGAUAACCUAAUGCUUCUGUUGAUGCCGCAUGCUUAUCUUUUUCCUAUCCAUAAUGUAUAUUACUAAUUCAUCUUUGUCGCAUGCUUAUCUCUUUUUUUACCUCAUGUGUAUUACUGAUUCAUCUUUGUUGCUGCUGUUGAUGUUGCAUGUCUAUCCUUUUCCUAUCCAUAAUGUACAUUACUGAUUCAUCUUUGUUGUUACUGUUGAUGUCGCAUGCUUAUCACUUUACUAUCCCUCAUGGAUAUUACCAAUUUAUUUGUAUAUCUGCUGUUGAUGUCGCAUGUAUAUCACUUUCUUAGCCAUCAUGUAUAUUAUCAAUACAUCUUUGUUGCUGUGGUUGAUGUUGCAUGUCUAUACAUUUCCUAUCCCUUUUGUAUAUUACCAAUUGAUUUUUGUUGCUGCUGUUGAUGUUGCAUGUCUAUCCUUUUCUUAUCCAUCAUGUAUAUUACUAAUUGAUCUUUGUUGCUGCUGUUGAGGUCGCAUGCCUUUUCUUUUCCUAUCCCUCAUGUAUAUUACUGAUUCAUCUUUGUUUCUGCGGUUGAUGUUGCAUGUUUAUCACUUUCCUAUUCAUCAUUUAUAUUGUCAAAUCAUUUUUUUGCCUUUCUUGAUAUCAUAUGCCUGUUCUUUUUCUUAGUCCUGGAUUUUUUCAUUGAGCCUUACCACAUCAGCGGCGAAGCACGCGAUCUACUUUUACUUCGUAGAUCGUGAAAAACGGAGUCGAUGGAAAAACCCGCUGGUGAUAUUUCAUUGAACUCUGCAGUAGUGGCAGAGGUGAGAAAAUGUAAAUAAUUUCUAUACAUAGAAUAUAUAUAACACACACACACACACUAAUUUUAAUUUCAAUAUAAUUAUCAUUGUAUCCUUUUCCUAUCAUUCAUGUUCAUUACCAAUUCAUUUUCUGAGGCAUCAUGCUUAUCACCUUCAUAUGUAUCAUGUAUAUUACUCUAUAUGCUGCUGAUGCUACAAGAACCUCUCCAUUCCCUAUCUCUCAUGUAUAUCAAACAUUUAUUUUGUUGCUGCUGGUCAUGUCGUAAGCCUAUUCCUUUUUCUAUCUAUCAUGUAUAUUACAAAUCGAUUUUUGUUGUUGCUGGUGAUACUAAAGGUCUUUCACUUUCCUCUUUUUCCUGUAUAUUGUAUAUAACCAUUUGCUUUUUUUUUUGUUUCUGCCUAUUAUAACCUUUAACUUUCCUAUCUUUCAUGCAUAUUGUAUAUUACCAAUUCAUAUUUGUUGCUGAUGUUGAUGCCACAAGCCUAUCCCAUAUGUUUAUUGCUGUUGAUACCACAGUGACUAAUUUUUUACAUUUUUAUUGCCAAUAUUAUCUGUUAGUUUGCACGUGUGUAUGAAUUCUGUUUUUAUAUUACAUUGUUUCCAAAUUUGCAAACAAAUCGAGAAAGAGUUUAGUUAUCGGAUAAUAUAUGUGGCACUUAGUGAGAGGCCUUCUUUCUCUCUUUCUGAGUCUUUCUCGCGGUGGGCGCCACCAAGGACGACAUUCUAUAUACAGUUAUCAGCGUCAUGCGUUCUGUCACCGUUUGCUUUUGGUGGCGUGAUCGUAGCGAGCCAAUAGGAGAGCGCCAUUCAGGUGUCACCGUUUGCUGCGCCACCACGUGGCGCGACGGUGACCUUGAGUGACGUAAUGAUAGGGUAGGAACAAGAAAUCACUUGCUAUCAUUAUCAUAUCAUUUUAUGUAUAUAUCAGAUUUAAAAUAUAUUCAUACAAAAAAUCUAAAUAAUACAAGUUUCAAAUAUCGUUGUGAAAAUUUACAUUUUUAUUUUUGUAUUUUAAAAACACACAAAGAUUGAAGCGGGACGUUUCAAAAGUGUGCCAUUCACGACGUCAAUUUAUAAUUGUAAAGAAUAGUAUUUUAAUAAAACAUUUAAUCGGGUAAAACCCGGGCGUUGCCCGGGUCAUUCGGCUAGUAGUAUAUAUGUACAGUUAAGCCUGUCUAUAGCGCCCCCUCUAAAUAGCGCCUUCCUCUUUAUAGCGCCCGAUUUUAAAUACGUAGUACGAUGCGAUAUUUACAUUAAAAGUGAUCUGUCUAUAGCACCCUAUUUUGGUGAGUCCCAAGAGGAGGCGCUAUAGACAGGUUUAACUGUAUAUUUAUCAAUUAUUUUAUAUAUUUAUAUCUAUUUAUUUAUAUAUUUAUCCUUAUUUAAUUUUUUUAUUUAUUCUAUACAUUUAUGUAUUUAACCUUAUAUGGACGAUGUAUUAAAGAAUUUUCCAUCUCAAUCUCUCUCUCUCCCUAUUUGCCUUCAAUUCUACCUAUCCAACACCAUCAGCCAAGGAUAACAUUUAAAGAGGAAUUUGAAAAAUAUAAUUAGAAAAUUAUAAACC